CCUACGGGUGGCAGCAGUGGGGAAUAUUGCACAAUGGGGGAAACCCUGAUGCAGCGACGCCGCGUGAGUGAAGAAGGAUUUCGGAAUGUAAAGCUCUAUCAGCAGGGAAGAAAAUGACGGUACCUGACUAAGAAGCCCCGGCUAAAUACGUGCCAGCAGCCGCGGUAAUACGUAUGGUGCAAGCGUUAUCCGGAUUUACUGGGGGUAAGGGGAGCGCAGGCGGGGCGUUCAGCCUGGUGUGAAAGCCCGCGGCCCAACCGCGGGACUGCAUUGGGAACUGGCGCGCUGGAGUGCCGGAGGGGUAGGCGGAAUUCCUAGUGUAGCGGUGAAAUGCGUAGAUAUUAGGAGGAACACCAGUGGCGAAGGCGGCCUACUGGACUGUGACUGACGCUGAGGCUCGAAAGCGUGGGGAGCAAACAGGAUUAGAUACCCGAGUAGUC
rnacentral:rRNA from 1 species